GAAAAAGGUGUCUUAGUUAAUUGGAGAGGAGUUUUGGGAUGCAAUUUGGAUUGUAGUACAUGGGCGAACACGAUGUACAAAUUUAAUGUUACUAA
rnacentral:lncRNA from 1 species